UCAAACAAUAUUUUAUAGUUUAAUAUCAUAUGACUUGCAAUUCAGACAUGGAGGAUGCAGACAGUCAAAAUAUACAGGGCGAUAACUUGUAUGCUCAGCAACUCUCAUGCAACAUUUUCAAUGGGGCUGCAAGAAUUCAAUUAAAGGCUGACUUCAGAGUAGUACAUACAUAAAAAUUAGUACAUAAACACACCAGCAAAGCAGCUUGUUCAAAGAUGGAGUCACUGAAAAAGUGAGUGAUUCUAAGGCAAAUCCUGGCCCCUCCUUUGCUGGUUUGUAGGAGCCUAAAUUCCCUCUAAGAUGGGGUUGGGAACAGCAAGUUAUCAAGAGCCUGCACUUCUGGUGCCCUUCCCCCACUGUCCUUUGCUCCUGCCCUCUGCUUUAUAGCUACUCCCAAGAGCCUGUUGUUUGCUAUGCAGAGUAAGAAUGUUAAGUAUCAGGUAAUUGACUAAUCAAAUAAUCAAUGCAUUUUUGGACUGACUAUUCAAUUAGUCAUUAGGGCUCCUCCGCCUCUGAAGUGUAGCAAUUCCCCCACUGACCCUGGGCUCUGCACAGCACUGCCGCUUUGAAAUGCUGUGGGGCAGCACCACAUGAAGCUCAGGAUCGACUGGGGAGUCCUCAGCUGAUCCCAGGCUCCAAGCGGCGCUGCUGCUUUGAAAUGCCAGGAGUAGCCUGAUACUUUGAAGUACCCCCACUCUUUUCCCCUCCUCAAAGCAGAGGGGAAAAGACCAAUCUGAGCCAGGGAUGAAGUAUGGCAAAGUGCACAAUGACAUCUGGUUUAGCAACCCCAGACAUGUUUCACCCAUCCUAGACAGUUUACUUGGAGGGCCAACAAAGAAACACAAUGUCCAUUCCAGGCUUGCUGCCAUCUCCUUCUGGGAUCUGCACUGCUUCAGCCAGUUGCCCAGGUAAGAAAGAGUAGAUAUGAAUACCUGUCCUGCUGAC